rnacentral:tRNA from 1 species
GUCGAAGUGGCGGAAUGGCAGACGCAGUGGACUUAAAAUCCACAGGGCGCAAGUCCGUGCGGGUUCGAGUCCCGCCUUCGGCACCA